CGAACGCUGUGAUGCCGAGACAGGCGAUGCCGAUCCAUCGCGCUUUAACCAUCGAAUGUGCCGGUGCCGGUCCUGCUGAUUGUCAUCAGGCCGACGUUACAGAUUCAAAGCGCGACGGCAACAAUCCGCCGAAAAAUAAAGGGCCCGGCAAAUUGCCGGGCCUCUUGGUCAGUCGGAAAAAAGAUGUCAGUUGCAGGAAAAUACAAAUGGCGUCACUCGCCGACGGCUUCCGAUUCACGUGCUGUGACGACGGCGAGCUUUUUCGGC
rnacentral:misc_RNA from 1 species